GUGCUCACUUCGGCAGCGCAUAUACUAAAAUUGAAAUGACACAGAGAAGAGUAAGUGGCCUGGCCCCUUGUGCAAGGAUGACAUGCAAAUUCGUGAAGCCUUCCACAUUUCU
ensembl:snRNA U6 U6 spliceosomal RNA